UACGUAGGGUGCAAGCGUUAAUCGGAAUUACUGGGCGUAAAGGGCUCGUAGGCGGCCCUCUCAGUCGGAUGUGAAAUCCCCAGGCUCAACUUGGGAACGGCAUCCGAUACUGGAGGGCUUGAAUUCGGGAGAGGGAUGCAGAAUUCCAGGUGUAGCGGUGAAAUGCGUAGAUAUCUGGAGGAAUACCGGUGGCGAAGGCGGCAUCCUGGACCGAGAUUGACGCUGAGGAGCGAAAGCUAGGGGAGCAAACGGG
rnacentral:rRNA from 1 species